UAUUAAGAUUGAUAUGUUUGAUUGUGGCAAAAAAUUUCUAUUAAAAUAAAGUUUACUAUGAUAUUUACUUAAGACUUGGUUUGAUUGCCGACGUCAGUAAGAAUCAAUAAACAACUUAUGAAAGUAAGGUUUUGUUUGUUUUAAUACGGUGGGGACAAGACGAAUGCCAGCAUCCGCGGUUAUAUUCGCUCAUAGAAUGAAUUUGGAUGGAUUUGUUAGAGCAUAGAUAAUUUAGUUACAGUAUAGAUAUUAGGAAGGAGUUAAAUUCAGAUCUAAUUGUGUUUUAUUCCAAGAGUAAGUUUAGUGUUUCUUACGUGAUUGGGGUGAGAAACCAGGAUUAGUGCCCUGUUAUCCUCAAUGUAAAAUAUAAAUUCCACUCUACUAAACAUUUAAUUGUCAAAGAGAAAUGAAUUGGCGGUGUUCGAGUUAAAAAACAGGGGAACCGGGGUGUUAAAAGAUAUUCCACUUACAUUUAAACCUUCUCUUAAAAAUGCGUGUGUAUGGUUGUUUAAUUAGUGGUUUGCGAGUCGUUAGUUAGUAAACUUAGUAAGGUGUAUUUAGCUUAUUAGUAAGUUUAAAUUCAGAUUAUCAUGCAGCUAUGUUAAGGUUAGCCUGGGUUACAUUUAGAACAUAAUAUUAUUAUAAAAAUAAACGAAUAAUAUUAGGAAACUUUUUAUUUGAAGAAGGACUUGUAAGUAAAAUAAAAUAAAUAAAAGUUAAUUGAAUCCUAUCGAAUGAGUACAAAUCGCCCGUCGCUCGCGAAGGAAAUUUGCGAUAAGUCGUAACAAGGUAGGGGUACCUGAAGGUGUCUCUAAAAU
rnacentral:ncRNA from 1 species